rnacentral:lncRNA from 1 species
AUGAGCUGGGGCUGCUGCUGGACAAGGGGUUCUGUCCUGAGAGGCUGCUCUGGGAAUUGUCCCCCUGGGCCAAGUGACACAAACCCACAGUGCCUCUACAGAGCACUUAAAUCCCAGAAUUUCCCCAGGCACAGAAAAUCCCCAGUGGUGUUUUUCACAGGAAUUGCUCUGUGUGUUCUCAGCACAGCUCCAGGACCUGGAUCUGCUGCAGCCCAGGGCCAAGGCAAGUGCAGCCCAGCAGGGUUGGAAACAUCCCUCUGGAGAGGGGGAAUUUCAGUGCUGUGCCUGCCUCACUCACUGCCAGCGAAUAUUUCAAUAUAUUCUGAAGAGCAGAAGCCCCGUUCUUCUUUUCCUGCCUCGGUGUGUGAGAAAUGCCCCCUUUGUGUGGGAUUUUGUCCUAGCUGGAGAUACCUGGAAAUGUACAGAACACAUCUUCCUAAAUGAAGAGGAUAAAUGGAAAGCAGAGGUGAGUCCUGCUGCAGAACCUUCUCUGGGUUAUCAAAGACUCUGCUUGGUCUGGCUCCUGCAGCUUCCAAAGUCUCACCAGCAACCCAACAGAACCAAGCAAAGGCAUUUCAGUGUUUGACUGUGUUUGCAAAGGCCUGGAUUUCAUGUGCUCUGUCUCUAUUUGGCCUUCCUCCCAUUGUCAAUGAUAUAACUGCAAGUGAGGAGGAGAAAUUAAGUGGCUUUGCAGAGGUCCUGUUCUCACAUCUGGAUGUGCUUUCAUCUGGUUUUAUCUCCCUGUGUUUUUCUGGUUUAAUAAAUUCCUGAGUUAUCUGAAGAAUGGUGCUAUA